rnacentral:misc_RNA from 1 species
GGUUGAAGAUUUGGAUGGGGAAGAAAAAAUUGGGUGAAAGUGACAGCGAAGAUAUGGAUGAGGAUAGUAGUGAUGAGGAAGAUGAGAAGUCUAUUGUUCUAAAUAAUGGAAAUCAUUCAGAUUUGAAUAAGGAUGCUGAAAGGAGUUCAGAUUCAGUUACUGGUGGGAAACUAGAUAGAGAAUGCUCUGGUGAUGCCUUAUGUGAGAGUGGUUCUGAUGCAGGAAGAGAUUCUACUGUGGAGCAAAAUUUGAAAU